rnacentral:lncRNA from 1 species
CUGCAUUAUAUGUCAAAAGAGCUUUUGCAGAUGCAAUUGGGAGGAGAAAAGAUAAGAUGCUCCUGAAAGAGUCACAACAUUUUUUAAAGGAAACAAGAGUAUUGGUACCAGAGAAGAUGUAAGGACAGGAGUAGAGGUCAGAGGGAUGAUAUUGGCUUGUAAAGAAAAGGAGGGACCAUGAAGUAUGACGUAUGGGCAGUUGGGAAAGUCCAGAAUUAAGCUUUCACUUGGAUCUUUCAGAGGAGGGGGAUCUUAAUAAAUCCUGAUUUUACCUAGAGAAGCUGGUUUUGGAGUUCUGUUAUUCAAAACUGUAAGAUACCAGCUUUGCUUUGUUUGAAAACCUCUAACUUUGAAAUACUUUUUUUAGCCGAAGAAAAUAAUACAGAGCCUUGGUGAUGAGAACAACUGAAGAAUGGGCCUGGAGAGGAAGCCCUGAAAGCGCCUCACACUGUUUGCAAAGCUGAUGAUGGAUGGUGCACACUUUGGCUCAAGCUAAGCAACUUGGCCCUGACCAGGCAACAGGGUCCCACCUGCUUGUUGGUACAAUUCAGCUGCUUCCAAAAUUAUGCAAGAACUGAAACAUAGGACUCUAUGGGGUUCCCCAAGACCAAGCUCAAAGAACAGGUAUGGAAGUUUCUCUGUUGAGAAACCCUGAUGGAUGGCCAGUGGAUUUCUCCUGAAAUGCAGAAGCUGAAGCUGCUUCAUCAUAACUUGACCAGUUUUCCCUGCCUGUCCUGUUGUGCCAGCCAAGAGAGGGAGUCAGAGACCCAACAGGGCCAUCAUUGUUGUCUCAGGCAUGGAGAACAGAGAUACAUCUGGGAGGAGCAGACAGAUGAACUAUUGCUCUGGUACUUGGAGCUGAACACAUCCUAGUCCCUAGAGGCUUCGUUGUGGUUUCUGGUGCUGCACAUUCUCACUCUUCUACCUCUGGAUGCUGCGUUGUUUGAGAAUACCCUUCUUAGAAGGUCUGUACCCACAGCAUGAACUCCCUUCCCUGUUCUGAUCUGUCUCCACUUCAGUGUCUAAUACAACCUCACAUGUGCUAUGUCCAAAAUAGAACAAACCCCCCACACACCAAAAAAAAAAAAAAAAAAAAACCCAGUCUUCCUGCCUAAGUUAUGCAUUGCUCAACUUGGCUCUCCUCAUAAGCCCACAUCCAUCCUUUAUUUCCCAAGGCUCCAAAUUUUAAGUCCCCAAUUCCUCAGCCCCUCAGCCCCUCAGCCCCUCAGACCUAUACCAUUCCCUGAGUAGCUUAUCUGGCUUAGACUCUUUGAAGCCUCUCAGUGUUUUGCUGCCCUUCCCCCUACCCACUGGUAGCCAAAUGAUUACUUUAAAAAGAAGCCUAAGUCAUGCCCACUCUUCCUACAUUUCAUUUUUAAAAAAAAACCAUAGUCUUCAUCACAACAGAAAGGCUUUAGGGGGGGUUCCUGCUGACCCCUUGUCCUUCAGCACCCCUAAAUAAUGAACCUCUAUCCUGCUCACCCACUAGAAAGCUCUUCCUACAGGUCCAUGCAAGCCCAGCCUUGCAAAACGAAGGCACCCGGGAAAACAAGAUCACAUUCUGUCUUCCCACGUCCUUGAGAAGAAUGGUCAUCAACAAACAGCAGGAGCU